ensembl:misc_RNA Metazoa_SRP Metazoan signal recognition particle RNA
AAGAGACCUUUAAGACAGCUGGUCAUUAUGCCGACCGGGUGUCCACGCUAAGUUCGGUAUCAAUAUGGUGACCUCCUGGGAGCAGGAGGCCAUCAGGUUGCCUAAGGAUGGGAGAACUGGCCCAGGUCAGAAAGGGAGCAGGUCAGGACUCCCGCACCAAUCGGUAGUGGGACUGUGCCUGGGCAGUAUAGCAAGAUCUUGGUUCUU